rnacentral:rRNA from 1 species
AGACGGGGGGUGCUAGCGUUGUUCGGAAUUACUGGGCGUAAAGGGCGCGUAGGCGGCUCUGCGAGUCGGGCGUGAAAUCCCGGGGCUCAACCCCGGAACGGCGCUCGAUAUUGCGGGGCUGGAGACCGGAAGAGGAGGGUGGAAUUCCCAGGGUAGAGGUGAAAUUCGUAGAUAUUGGGAGGAACACCGGUGGCGAAAGCGGCUCUCUGGUCCGGUUCUGACGCUGAGGCGCGAAAGCGUGGGGAGCAAACAGGAUUAGAAACCCUAGUAGUCC